rnacentral:rRNA from 1 species
UCAGGUAGGAAUACCCGCUGAACUUAAGCAUA